AGGGCACUACACCGGAUGCAGGAGACGGGAGUUCCGAUCCUCGCUCUCUCAGGAGUGUAGUAGUUUCGUGAUGCUUGGUGUACACUCUACACAGAAUUCUAUAUUUGCCAUGCAAGUGGGGAACAAACAUGCAAGCUAUUUCAUGUGGAAAACCAGGUAUAUAGGGUUUUCUUAAGAUUCCUUACACUA